rnacentral:misc_RNA from 1 species
GAAAUGCGAUAAGUAGUGUGAAUUGCAGAAUUCAGUGAAUCAUCGAAUCUUUGAACGCACAUUGCGCCUUUUGGCAUUCCGAAGGGCAUACCUGUUCGAGCGUCAUUUAAACCUUCAAGCUCAGCUUGGUGAUGGGUGACUGUCCCCCCCUCGCGGGGGGACUCGCCUCAAAAACAUUGGCGGCCGGUACAUUGGCUUCGAGCGCAGCAGAAACGCGGUCUCGAGCCCGGUGGAUCGGCUCCCACAAGCCUAUUCUUUUAUUUUGACCUCGGAUCAGGUAGGGAUACCCGCUGAACUUAAGC